GGAGAGGUGUCAGAGUGGCCGAAUGAGCCGGACUCGAAAUCCGGUGUGCCCGUGAGGGCACCGUGGGUUCAAAUCCCACCCUCUCCGCCA
rnacentral:tRNA from 1 species